rnacentral:lncRNA from 1 species
CCCGGCGAUUGGGCGCCAGGGGCGUCUGGGUCUCGCGCGGGCGUGGGAGCCGAGGGCCCGGCCGCGGCGCCCGAGAGGCGGAGAUGGGCCAGUGACCCUCGACCCGUCCGUCCGUCGGGCUAGCGAGACCAGCCCGCCGCGGAGGAGACAGAGCAGGGAGCUACAGGAGGCCGUUCCGGAAAACGCCACGGGCAAGCAGGGCCAUCCUACGGCAUCCUCAGGUUAAGACGAUGGCACGGGAAUUCCGCAUGCCUCUCAAACUUCUCCCAGGUGACCUGAAGUCAGUUUUGAGAACCACGGGACCAGGUCGCUGAAGGCACCUUGUUUCCUCGGUACAGAUAUACCCCAAGAUGGGAUGACAUGCGGGGUGCGCGCAAGGGAGCCUCGGUUAGCAUGGAGGCAUUUGGAGCCGCAGCAACAACAGAAUGUCGAAAGAAGUGAUGAAACUGGCCCACAGAAGAGGUCGCUGAGAUGUGUGGUCAUCAGGCUAAGGGGCUCUGGGAUGGGCAUUCCCCACCCCAACCCCUGGCUGUCCCCUUCCUCAGUCCGAGGGAAGGGUCUCCCCUUCAACCAGCUCAGAGUUCAGCUUAGUUCUUGACUCGGGUCUCAUCUCCAGGGGCUGUGGAUCACAGUGCUGGGUCCUUGGCCGUGGUGAGUUCCAGUGCUGGAGCUAGGGCCUGGCAGGACUGAGGACGAAGUAAAGCUCUACCUCUCAGAAGUGACGGCCUCAACAAGACUUACCCUCGAAGCUGUGCUGCUGAGGACACGUGGCACAGGGGUUGCACGGUCAGCUUUUAAUGCAAUGUGCGGUGGGUGAUGCAGAUCCUGUCCCUGGACAACCUUUUUUUGAGGCGACUAUCCUGCUACCCUCUACGUUUCGGUUUGCCUUCACUGGUUCUCUAACUUUCUGAGUCUUUGUUUUAGUCAAGUGUGUAAAUAUCAGGAUCUGGUAAGAGAUGCUUCCUACUCUCCCCUGCAGGCCCCUUCUCCUCCCCUCCCUCAAUGAAAAGUGACAGUCAGGGCUGGUGUCUGCCUGGCUUAAUAUGAAUGCUGAGACUUGUAAAAUCAUCAUGGCCAGUCCCAUUGUGCCAAGUGUCUGAAAGACCCUGUAUAGGUACUGUGAUAAGAAAUAGAUAUUUCCGUGAGUCAUCCCAGGCUCCUGACCACAGCUCUUAAAAUCUUGUAAUUUCCUAAGGGAUAAAUGUGUGAGGAGCAUCUUUUGUUCUAAUAAUUGGUCUUUGGCCCAGUUCUUGUCACAGAAAUCCCUUGGAACUUCCUGGAUGAUAGGACUGUCUUAUGUUCUAACGAAGCAAGUCUUGGUGGGCUCUGGGAUAGCUUCAGGAUGGAGGCUGGUCCUGAGAAACCCCAAGCUAUGAUUAGAAGCUUGGAACUUUCAGCCCCACCGCCCAUCCUCUGGAUAGGGACUGGAGACUGAGUUAAUAAUCGAUCGUGGAUGAAGCCUAUUGGAUGAAACCUCCUGAAAAUCCCUGAACUAG